UACCAUGCUCCUUGGUUGAUAUCCACGC
rnacentral:piRNA from 1 species